rnacentral:rRNA from 1 species
AUUGAACGCUGGCGGCAGGCCUAACACAUGCAAGUCGAACGGUAACAGGAAGCAGCUUGCUGCUUUGCUGACGAGUGGCGGACGGGUGAGUAAUGUCUGGGAAACUGCCUGAUGGAGGGGGAUAACUACUGGAAACGGUAGCUAAUACCGCAUAACGUCGCAAGACCAAAGGGGGGACCUUCGGGCCUCUUGCCAUCGGAUGUGCCCAGAUGGGAUUAGCUAGUAGGUGGGGUAACGGCUCACCUAGGCGACGAUCCCUAGCUGGUCUGAGAGGAUGACCAGCCACACUGGAACUGAGACACGGUCCAGACUCCUACGGGAGGCAGCAGUGGGGAAUAUUGCACAAAGGGCGCAAGCCUGAUGCAGCCAUGCCGCGUGUAUGAAGAAGGCCUUCGGGUUGUAAAGUACUUUCAGCGGGGAGGAAGGGAGUAAAGUUAAUACCUUUGCUCAUUGACGUUACCCGCAGAAGAAGCACCGGCUAACUCCGUG